rnacentral:rRNA from 1 species
CCUACGGGCGGCAGCAGUAGGGAAUCUUCCACAAUGGGCGAAAGCCUGAUGGAGCAACGCCGCGUGGGUGAAGAAGGUCUUCGGAUCGUAAAACCCUGUUGUUAGAGAAGAAAGUGCGUGAGAGUAACUGUUCACGUUUCGACGGUAUCUAACCAGAAAGCCACGGCUAACUACGUGACAGCAGCCGCGGUAAUACGUAGGUGGCAAGCGUUAUCCGGAUUUAUUGGGCGUAAAGGGAACGCAGGCGGUCUUUUAAGUCUGAUGUGAAAGCCUUCGGCUUAACCGGAGUAGUGCAUGGGAAACUGGGAGACUUGAGUGGAGAAGAGGAGAGUGGAACUCCAUGUGUAGCGGUGAAAUGCGUAGAUAUAUGGAAGAACACCAGUGGCGAAAGCGGCUCUCUGGUCUGUAACUGACGCUGAGGUUCGAAAGCGUGGGUAGCAAACAGGAUUAGAUACCCGGGUAGUC